AGGAAACUUAUCCAAUAACCAAUUCCCAAUAAACUUUUGUUCACCACGGGAAACCUUAAAAUUCUACCUUUACGCUUAAAGCAAGGUAGAGAAAGGAGUAGAUAUCAAAUGUUAAAACCACAAUGUCCUUGAAAGUAAAUCAAAUUAUUCUGAUACGAAACUAAAGAAAUGAGGAAUAGAAAACACAAGAUCAAGCUUUAAAAAAAAAAACAAAGAAAUCAAAGAAUUGAAAAUUAAUUUUCUGCUACACACAUGCGGUCAACAAAUAACACUCAAACAUAAAAGACAAGAAUCAAGAACAAUGCGAAGUGGAAGAGAAUAGUGGAUACGAAGGAAACUUACCUGACAAGGAUAUCCAAAUAAGCUUCUCUUCUCCUCGGGACACUUGAAAAUUCUACCCCUACGCUUAUAGAAAGUAGAGAAAAGAGUAGAGAUCAAAUGUAAAAACGAGAGUAAGAAAAUUAACUCUCAAGAGACAAUAUCGUUGAAAUUAAAUUAAAUUAUGUUGAUACGAAACUAAAAAAAUGAGGAAUAGAUAACGCAACAUCAAGAUAAAAAAAAAAAACAAAGAAAUUAACGGAUUCAAAAAUAAUUUUCUAAUACACACAUACAGUAGACGUAUAACACAAAACUAUAAAAGGUAACAAUGAAAAACAAUGCAAAAUGUGAGAGAAUAGGGAAUACGGAGGAAACUUAUCCAAUAACCAAUUCCCAAUAAACUUUUGUUCACCACGGGAAACCUUAAAAUUCUACCCUUACGCUUAAAGCAAGGUAGAGAAAUGAGUAGAUAUCAAAUGUUAAAACCACAAUGUCCUUGAAAGUAAAUCAAAUUAUUCUGAUACGAAACUAAAGAAAUGAGGAAUAGAAAACACAAGAUCAAGCUUUGAAAAAAAAAACAAAGAAAUCAAAGGAUUGAAAAUUAAUUUUCUGCUACACACAUGCGGUCAACAAAUAACACUCAAACAUAAAAGAGAAGAAUGAAAAAUAAUGCGAAAUGGAGGAAAAUAGGGGAUAAGGAGGAAACUUACCUGACAAGUAUUUCCCCAUAAACAUCUUUUUUCCUCGAGAAACCUAAAAAUUCUACCCUUACGCUUAUAGAAGGUAGCGAAAGGAGUAGAGAUCAAAUGUAAAAAUGAGAAUAAGAAAAUUAACUCUUAAGGCUCAAUAUUGUUAAAAGGAAAUCAAAUUCUGCUGACACGAAACUAAAGAAAUGAGGAAUAGACAACGCAACAUCAAGAUAAAAAACAAACAAAGAAAUUAAUGGAUUCAAAAUUAAUUUUCUAGAACACACGUAUAGUAGACAUAUAACACGAAAACAUAAAAGAUAAAUAAGAAGAACAACGCAAAAUUUGAGAGAAUAGGGAAUAUGGAGAAAACUUAUUGAAGAACUAAUUCCCAAUAAACUUCUCUUGACCAGGGGAAACCUGAAAAUUCUACCCUUACGCUUAAAGCAAGGUAGAGAAAGGAGUAGAGAUCAAAUUUUAAAACCACAAUGUACUUGAAAGUAAAUAAAAUUAUUUUGAUAAGAAACUAAAGAAAUGAGAAAUAGAAAACACAACAUAGAGCAAUAAAAAAAAACAAUGAAAUCAAAGGAUUGAAAAUUCAUUAUCCACUAGAUACACGCAGUGAACAAAUAACACUCAAACAUAAAAAAAAAAAGAAUGAAGAACAAUGCGAAAUGGUGGAGAAUAGGGGAUACAGAGAAAACUUACCUGACAAAUAUUUCCAAACAAACCACUCUUUUCCUCGGGAAACCUAAAAAAUUCUACACUUAUGCUUAUAGAAUGUAGCGAAAUGAGUAGAUAUCAAAAGUAAAAACGAGAAUAAGAAAAUUAAUUCUUAAGGCGCAAUAUCGUUGAAAGGAAAUCAAAUUAUGCAAAUACAAAACUAAAGAAAUGAGGAAUAGACAACGCAAGAUCAAGAUAAAAAACAACCAAAGAAAUUAACGGAUUCAAAAUUAAUUUUCUAGUACACAGAUACAGUAGACAUAUAACAUGAAAACAUACAAGAUAAAUAUGAAGAACAUUGCAAAAUUUGAGAGAAUAGGGAAUACGGAGGAAACUUAUCCAAGAACUAAUUCUCAAUAAACUUUCCUUCACAACGGGAAACCUGAAAAUUCUACCCUUUCGCUUAAAGCAAGGUACAGAAAGGAUUAGAGAUCAAAUGUUAAAACCACAAUGUCCUUGAAAGUAAAUAAAAUUAUUUUGAUAAGAAACUAAAGAAAUGAGCAAUAGAAAACACAACAUAGAGCUCUAAAAAAAACAAUGAAAUCAAAGGAUUGAAAAUUCAUUCUCUACUACAUACACGUAGUCAACAAAUAACACUCAAACAAAAUAGAGACGAAUGAAGAACAAUGCGAAAUGGAGGAGAAUAGGUGAUACAAACAAACUACUCUUUUCCUCGGGAAACCUGAAAAUUCUACUUUCACGCUUACCUGACAAGUAUGUGUGUACUAGAAAAUUAAUUUUGAAUCCGUUAAUUUCUUUGUUUGUUUUUUAUCUUGACCUUGCAUUGUUUAUUCCUCAUUUCUUUAGUUUUGUAUCUACAUAAUUUGAUUUGCUUUCAACGAUAUUGUGCCUUAAGAGUUCAUUUUCUUAUUCUCGUUUUUACUUUUGAUCUGUACUCCUUUCGCUACAUUCGAUAAGCGUAAGGGUAAAAUUUUCAGGUUUCUCGAGGAAAAGAGAAGUUUGUUUGGAAAUACUUGUCAGGUAAGUUUUCUCUGUAUCCCCUAUUCUCCUCCAUUUCGCAUUGUUCUUCAUUCUUCUCUUUUAUGUUUAAGUGUUAUUUGUUGAAUUCGUGUAUGUAGUAGAGAAUGAAUUUUUAACCUUUUGAUUUCAUUGGGUUUUUUUUUUAUAGCUCUAUGUUGUGUUUUCUAUUACUCAUUUCUUGACUUCCUUAUCAAAGUAAUUUUAUUUACUUUCAAGUACAUUGUGCUUUGAAAAUUUGAUCUCUACUCCUUUCUCUACCUUGCUUUAAGCGUAAGCGUAGAAUUUUUCAGGCUUCCCGUGGUCAAGAGAGUUUUAAUGGGAAUUAAUUAUUCAAUAAGUUUCCUCCAUAUUCCCUAUUCUCUCAAAUUUUGCACUGUUCUUCAUAUUAAUCUUUUAUGUUUUCGGGUUAUAUGCCUACUGUAUGUGUGUACUAGAAAAUUAAUUUUGAAUCCACUUAUUUCUUUGCUUGUUUUUUAUCUUGAUGUUGCGUUGUCUAUUCCUCAUUUCUUUAGUUUUGUAGCUGCAUAAUUUGAUUUGCUUUCAACGAUAUUGUGCCUUAAGAGUUCAUUUUCUUAUUCUCGUUUUUACAUUUGCCAGGUAAGUUUUCUUUGUAUCCCCUAUUCUCGUUCAUUUCGCAUUGUUCUUCAUUCUUCUCUAUUAUGUUUUAGUGUUAUUUUUUUAAAUUCGUGUAUGUAGCAGAGAAUGAAUUUUCAAUCUUUUGAUUUCAUUGUUUUUUUUUAUAGCUCUAUGUUGUGUUUUCUAUUACUCAUUUCUUUACUUUUUUAUCAAAAUAAUUUUAUUUUCUUUGAAGUACAUUGUGGUUUUACAAUUUGAUUUCUACUCCUUUCUCUACCUUGCUUUAAGAGUAAGGGUAGAAUUUUCAAGUUUCCCGUGGUCAAGAGAAGUUUAUUAGGAAUUAGCUAUUCAAUAAGUUUCCUCUAUAUUCCCUAUUCCCUCAAAUUUUGCACGGUUCUUCGUAUUUAUCUUUUAUGUUUUCAUGUUAUAUGCCUACUGUAUGUGUGUAUUAGUAAAUUAAUUUUCAAUCCGUUAAUUUCUUUGCUUGUUUUUUUAUCUUGAUGUUGCGUUGUCCAUUCCUCAUUUCCUUAGUUUCGUAUAUGCAUAAUUUGAUUUCCUUUCAACGAUAUUGUGCCUUAAGUUUUAUAUUUCUUAGUCUCGUUUUUACAUUUGAUUUCUACUCCUUUCGCUACCUUUUAUAAGCGUAAGAGCAAAAUUUUCAGGUUUCCCAAGGAAAAGAGAAGCUUAUUUGGAAAUACUAGUCAUGUAAGUUUCCUCCGUAUCCCUUAUUCUCUUCUAUUUCGCAUUGUUCUUUAUUCUUCUCUUUUAUGUUUGAGUGUUAUUUGUUGACCGCAUGUAUGUAGUAGAGAAUUAAUUUUCAAUCCUUUGAUUUCUUUGUUUGUUUUUAAAAGCUUGAUGUUUUGUUUUCUAUUGCUCAUAUCUUUAGUUUCGUAUUCGAAUAAUUUUAUUUACUCUCAAGGACAUUGUGGUUUUAACAUUUGAUCUCUUCUCCUUUCUCUACCUUGCUUUAAGCAUAAGGGUAGAAUUUUCAAGCUUCCCGUGGUCAAGAGAAGUUUAUUGGGAAUUAGUUAUUCGAUAAGUUUCCUCCAUAUUCCCUAUUCUCUCAAAUUUUGCACUGUUCUUCAUAUUAAUCUUUUAUGUUUUCAUGUUAUAUGCCUACUGUAUGUGUGUAUUAGAAAAUUAAUUUUCAAUCCGUUAAUUUCUUUGCUUGUUUUUUUAUCUUGAUGUUGCGUUGUCUAUUCCUCAUUUUUAUAGUUUCGUAUAUGCAUAAUUUGAUUUCCUUUCAACGAUAUUGUGCCUUAAGUUUUAUAUUUCUUAGUCUCGUUUUUACAUUUGAUUUUCACUCCUUUCGCUACCUUCUAUAAGCGUAAAGGUAGAAUUUUCAGGUUUCCCGAGGAAAAAAGAAGCUUAUUUGGAAAUACUUGUCAGGUAAGUUUCCUCCAUAUCCCCUAUUCUUUUCCAUUUCGCAUUGUUCUUUAUUCUUCUCUUUUAUGUUUGAUUGUUAUUUGUUGACCGCAUGUAUGUAGUAGAGAAUUAAUUUUCAAUCCUUUGAUUUCUUUGUUUGUUUUUAAAAGCUUGAUGUUGUGUUUUCUAUUGCUCAUAUCUUUAGUUUCGUAUUCGAAUAAUUUUUCUACUCUCAAGGACAUUGUGGUUUUAACAUUUGAUCUCUACUCCUUUCUCUACCUUGCUUUAAGCAUAAGGGUAGAAUUUUUCAGGUUUCCAAUGGUAAAGAGAAGUUUAUUGGGAAUUAGUUCUUGGAUAAGUUUCCUCCGUAUUCCCUAUUCUCUCAAAUUUUGCACUGUNNNNNNNNNNNNNNNNNNNNNNNNNNNNNNNNNNNNNNNNNNNNNNNNNNNNNNNNNNNNNNNNNNNNNNNNNNNNNNNNNNNNNNNNNNNNNNNNNNNNGUAUUUCCACACUAUACUUCUCAUUUCCUCUGGAAUCUGUAUAUUUCUACUUUCGCGCUUACCAGACUAAGUACGUGUGUCAUCGAAAAUUAAUUCUGAAUCCGUUAAUUUCUUUGUUUGUUUUUUAUCUCGAUCUUACGUUGUCUAUUCCUCAUUUCUUUAGUUUAUACCUGCAUAAUUUGAUUUUCUUUCAAUGAUAUUGCGCCUUGAGAGUUAAUUUUCUUAUUCUCAAUUUUACAUUUGAUCUCUACUCCUUUCGCUACAUUCUAUAAGCGUAAGGGUAGAAUUUUCAAGUUUCCCGAGGAAAAGAGAAGUUUGUUUGAAAAUACUUGUCAGGUAAGUUUUCUCCGCAUCCCCUAUUCUCCUCCAUUUUGCAUUGUUCUUCAUUCUUCUCUUUUAUAUUUGAGUGUUAUUUGUUCACUGCCUGUAUGUUGUACAGAAUGAAUUUUCAAUCCUUUGAUUUCAUUGCUUUUUUUUAGAGCUCUAUGUUGUGUUUUCUAUUAUUCAUUUCUUUAGUUUUGUAUCAAAAUAAUUUUAUUUACUCUCAAGGACAUUGUGGUUUUAACAUUUGAUCUCUUCUCAUUUCUCUAUCUUGCUUUAAGCGUAAGGGUAGAAUUUUCAGGUUUCCCGUGGUCAUGAGAAGUUUAUUUCGAGUUAGUUCUUCAGUAAGUUUCCUCUAUAUUCCCUAUUCUCUCAAAAAUUUUGCACUGUUUCUCCUAUUUAUCUUUUCGUGUUAUAUGUCUACUGUAUGUGUGUACUAGAAAAUUAAUUCUGAAUCCGUUAAUUUCUUUGUCUAUUUUUUUUCUUGAUGUUGCGUUUUCUAUUCCUCAUUUCUUUAGUUUCGUAUAUGCAUAAUUUGAUUUCCUUUCAAGGAUAUUGCGCAAUAGUUAAUUUUCUUAUUCUCGUUUUUACAUUUGAUCUCUACUCCUUUCGCUACAUUCUCUAAGCGUAAGGGUAGAAUUUAAAGGUUUCCCAAGGAAAAGAGAAGUGUUUUUGGAAAUACUUGUCAGGUAAGUUUUCUCCGUAUCCCUUAUUCCCCACCACUUCGCAUUGUUCUUCAUUCUUCUCUUUUAUGUUUGAGUGUUAUUUGUUCACUGCGUGUAUCUAGUAGAGAAUUAAUUUUCAAUCCUUUGAUUUCAAUUUUUUUUUUUUUAUACCUCUAUGUUGUGUUUUCUAUUACUCAUUUCUUUAGUUUCGUAUCAAAAUAAUUUUAGUUACUUUCAAGUACAUUGUGGUUUUAAAAUUUGAUCUCUACUCCUUUCUCUACCUUGCUUUAAGCGUAAGGGUAGAAUUUUCAGGUUUCCCCUGGUCAAGAGAAGUUUAUAAGGAAUUAGUUCUUCGAUAAGUUUCCUCCAUAUUCACUAUUCUCUCAAAUUUUGCUUUGUUCUUCUUAUUUCUCUUUUAUGUUUUCGUGUUAUAUGUCUACUGUAUGUGCGUACUAUAUAAUUAAUUUUAUAUCCGUUAAUUUCAUUGUUUGUUUUUUAUCUUGAUGUUGUGUUGUCUAUUCCUCAUUUCUUUAAUUUGGUAUCCAUAUAAUUUUAUUUCCUUUCUACAAUAUUGUGCCAUAAGAGUUAAUUUUCUUAAUCUCGAUUUUACAUUUGAUCUCUACUCCUUUCGCUACCUUCUAUAAGCGUAAGGGUAGAAUUUUCAGGUUGCUCGAGGAAAAGAGAAGUUUAUGGGAAAAUACUUGUCAGGUAAGUUUCCUCCGUAUCCCCUAUUCUCCUCCAUUUGGAAUUGUUGUUCAUUAUUCUCUUUUAUGUUUGAGUGUUAUUUGUUGACCACAUGUAUGUAGUAGAUAAUUAAUUUUCAAUCCUUUGAUUACUUUGGCUUUUUUUAAAAGCUUGAUCUUGUGUUUUCUAUUCCUCAUUUCUUUAGUUUCUUAUCAAAAUAAUUUUAUUUACUUUCAAGGACAUUGUGGUUUUAACAUUUGAUCUCUACCCCUUUCUCUACUUUGCUCUAAGCACAAUGGUAGAAUUUUCAAGUUUUCGGUGGUGAAGAGAAGUUUAUUGGGAAUUAGUUCUCGGAUAAGUUUUCCCCAAAUUCCCUACUCUCUCAAAUAUUGUAUUGUUCUUCAUUUUUAUCUUGUAUGUUUUCAUGUUAUAUUUCUACUAUAUGUAUGUACUAGAUAAUUAAUUUUAUAUCCGUUAAUUUCUUUGUUUGUUUUUUAUCUUGAUGUUGCAUUCUGUAUUCCCCAUUUCUUUAGUUUCGUAUCCAUAUAAUUUUAUUUCCUUUCUACAAUAUUGUGCCAUAAGAGUUAAUUUUCUUAAUCUCGUUUUUAUAUUUAAUCUCUACUCCUUUCGCUACCUUCUAUAAGCGUACGGGUAGAACUUUCAGGUUUCCCUUUGAAAAUAGAAGUUUAUUUGAAAAUACUUGUCAUGUAAGUUUCCUCUGUAUCCCAUAUUCUCCUCCAUUUGGCAUUGUUGUUCAUUCUUCUCUUUUAUGUUAAAGUGCUAUUUGUUGACCGCAUGUAUGUAGUAGAGAAUUAAUUUUCACUCUUUUGAUUUUUUUUUUUUUUUAAGAGCUUGAUCUUGUGUUUUCUAUUCCUCAUUUCUUUAGUUUCGUAUCAGAAUAAUUUGAUUUACUUUAAAGGACAUUAUGGUUUUCACAUUUGAUCUGUACACCUUUCUCUACCUUUCCCAAUAAACUUCCCUUGACCUCAGGAAACCUGAAAAUUCUACCCUUAUGCUUAAAUCAAGGUAGAGAAAGGAGAAGAGAUCAAAUGUUAAAACCACAAUGUCCUAAAGAGUAAAUAAAAUUAUUCGGAUAUGAAACUAAAGAUAUGAGCAAUAGAAAACACAACAUCAAGCUUUUAAAAACAAACAAAUAUAUCAAAGGAUUGAAAAUAAACUCUCUACUACAUACAUGCGGUAAAAAAAUAACACUCAAACAUAAAAAGAGAAGAAUAGAGAACAAUGCGAAAUGGUAAAGAAUAAGGGAUACGGAGGAAACUUACCUGACAAGUAUUUCCAAAUGAGCUUCUCUUUUCCUCGAGACACUUGAAAAUUUUACUCUUAUGCUUAUAGAAAGUAGCGAAAGGAGUAGAGAUCAAAUGUAAAAACGAGAAUAAGAAAAUUAACUCUCAAGACACAAUAUCGUUGACAUGAAAUUAAAUUAUGCUGUUACGAAACUAAAAAAAUGAGAAUAGACAACGCAACAUCAGAAUAAAAAACAAACAAAGGAAUUAACAAAUUCAAAAAUAAUUUUCUAGUACACACAUACAGUAGACGCAUAAGAUGAAAACAUAAAAGAUAAAAAUGAAAAACAGUGCAAAAUUUGAGAGAAUAGGGAAUAGGGAGGAAACUUAUCAAAGAACCAAUUCCCAAUAAACUUCUAUUCACCACGGGAAACCUUAAAAUUCUACCCUUACGCUUAAAGCAAUGUAGAGAAAGGAGUAGAUAUCAAAUGUUAAAACCACAAUGUCCUUGGGAGUAAAUCAAAUUAUUUUGAUACAAAACUAAAAAAAUGAGGAAUAGAAAACACAACAUCAAGCUUUUAAAAAAAAAAACAAAGAAAUCAAAGGAUUGAAAAUUAAUUCUCUACUACACACAAGCGGUCAACAAAUAACACUCAAACAUAAAAGAGAAUAAUGAAGAACAAUGCAAAAUGGAGGAGAAUAGGGAAUACGGAGGAAACUUACCUGACAAGUAUUUCCCUAUAAACUUCUCUUUACCUCGAGAAACUUGAAAAUUCUACCCUUAUAUUUAUAGAAGGUAGCGAAAAGUGUAGACAUCAAAUGUAAAAAUGAUAAUAAGAAAAUUAACUCUUAAGGCUCAAUAUGGUUGAAAGGAAAUCAAAUUCUACUGAUACAAAACUAAAGAAAUGAGGAAUAGACAAUGCAACAUCAAGAUAAAAAACAAACAAAGAAAUUAAUGGAUUCAAUGUUAAUUUUCUAGAACACACAUAUAGUAGACAUAUAACACAAAAACAUAAAAGAUAAAUAAGAAGAACAACCAAGAUUUGAGAGAAUAGGGAAUAUGGAGAAAACUUACCGAAUAACUAAUUCCCAAUAAACUUCUCUUGACUAGGGGAAACCUGAAAAUUCUACCCUUACGCCUAAAACAAGGUAGAGAAAGGAGUAGAGAUCAAAUUUUAAAACCACAAUGUACUUGAAAGUAAAUAAAAAUUUUUUGAUAAGAAACUAAAGAAAUAAGAAAUAGAAAACACAACAUAGAGCUAUAAAAAAAAAACAAUGAAAUCAAAGGAUGGAAAAUUCAUUAUCUACUAAAUACACGCAGUGAACAAAUAACACUCAAACAUAAAAGAGAAAAAUACAUAACAAUGCAAAAUGGUGGAGAAUAGGAAAUACGAAGAAAACUUACUCGACAAGUAUUUCCAAAUACUCUUUUCCUUGGGAAACCUAAAAAAUUCUACCCUUACGCUUAUAGAAUGUAGCGAAAAGAGUAGAGAUCAAAAGUAAAAAUGAGAAUAAGAAAAUUAAUUCUUAAGGUGCAAUAUAGUUGAAAGGAAAUCAAAUUAUGCAAAUACAAAACUAAAGAAAAGAGGAAUAGACAACGCAAGAUCAAAAUUAAAAACAACCAAAGAAAUUAACGGAUUCAAAUUAAUUUUCUAGUACACACAUAUAGUAGACAUAUAACAUGAAAACAUACAAAAUAAAUAUGAAAAACAGUGCAAAAUUUGAGAGAAUAAGGAAUACGGAGGAACCUUAUUCAAGAACUAAUUCCCAAUAAACUUUCCUUCACCACGGGAAACCUGAAAAUUCUACCCUUACGCUUAAAGCAAGGUACAGAAAGGAUUAGAGAUCAAAUGUUAAAAUCACAAUGUCCUUGAAAGUAAAUAAAAUUAUUUUGAUAAGAAACUAAAGAAAUGAGUAAUAGAAAACACAAUAUAGAGCUCUAAAAAAACACAAUGAAAUCAAAGGAUUGAAAAUUAAUUCUCUACUACAUACACGUAGUCAACAAAUAACACUCAAACAAAACAGAGAAGAAUGAAGAACAAUGCGAAAUGGGGGAGAAUAGGGGAUACGAAGAAAACUUACUCGACAAGUAUUUCCAAACAAACUACUCUUUUCCUCGGGAUACCUUAAAAUUCUACUUUCACGCUUACCUGACAAGUAUGGGUGUACUAGAAAAUUAAUUUUGAAUCCGUUAAUUUCUUUGUUUAUUUUUUAUCUUGAUCUUGCGUUGUCUAUUCCUCAUUUCAUUAGUUUUGUAUCUACAUAAUUUGAUUUUCUUUCAACGAUAUUGUGCCUUAAGAGUUAAUUUUCUUAUUCUCGUUUUUACAUUUGAUCUCUACUCCUUCCGCUACAUUCUAUAAGCGUAAAGGUAGAAUUUUCAGGUUUCCCGAGGAAAAGAGAAGUUUGUUUGGAAAUACUUGUCAGGUAAGUUUUCUUCGUAUCCCCUAUUCUCCUCCAUUUCGCAUUGUUCUUCAUUCUUCUCUUUUUUGUUUGAGUGUUAUUUGUUGACUUCGUGUAUGUAGUAGACAACGAAUUUUCAAUCCUUUGAUUUCAUUGUUUUUUUUUAUAACUCUAUGUUAUGUUUUCUAUUACUCAUUUAUUUAGUUUCUUAUCAAAAUAAUUUUAUUUACUUUCAAGGACAUUGUGGUUUUAACAUUUGAUCUCUAAUCCUUUCUGUACCUUGCUUUAAGCGUAAAGGUAGAAUUUUCAGGUUUCCCGUGGUGAAGGAAAAGUUUAUUGGGAAUUAGUUCUUGGAUAAGGUUCCUCCGUAUUCCCUAUUCUCUCAAAUUUUGCACUGUUCUUCAUAUUUAUCUUGUAUGUUUUCAUGUUAUAUGUCUAUUGUAUGUAUGUACUAUAAAAUUAAUUUUGAAUCUGAUAAUGUCUUUGUUUAUUUUUUAUUUUUAUGGUGCGUUGUCUAUUCCUCAUUUCUUUAGUUUCGUAUCAACAUAAUUUGAUUUCCUUUCAACGAUAUUGUGCAUUAAGAGUUAAUUUUCUUAUUCUCGUUUUUACAUUUGAUCUCUACUCGUUUCGCUACAUUCUAUAAGCAUAAGGGUAGAAUUUUCAGGUUUCCCGAGGAAAGGAGAAGUUUUCAAUCCUUUGAUUUUAUUAUUUUCUUUUAGAGCUAUAUGUUGUGUUUUUCUAUUACUCAUUUCUUUAGUUUCUUAUCAAAAUAAUUUUAUUUACCUUCAAGGACAUUGUGGUUUUAACAUUUGAUCUCUACUCCUUUCGCUACAUUCUAUAAGCGUAAGGGUAGAAUUUUCAAGUUUCCCGAGGAAAAGAGAAGUUUGUUUGGAAAUACUUGUCAGGUAAGUUUUCUCCGUAUCCCCUAUUCUCCUUCAUUUCGCAUUGUUCUUCAUUCUUCUCUUUUAUGUUUGAGUGUUAUUUGUUGAAUUCGUGUAUGUAGUAGAGAAUGGAUUUUCAAUCUUUUGAUUUCAUUGUUUUUUUUUAGAGCUCUAUGUUGUGUUUUCUAUUAUUCAUUUCUUUAGUUUCAUAUCAAAUUAAUUUUAUUUACUCUCAAGGAUAUUGAUGUUUUAACAUUUAUUCUCUACACAUUUCUCAACUUGCUUUAAGCGUAAGGGUAGAAUUUUCAGGUUUCCCGUAGUGAAGAGAAGUUUAUUGGGAAUUAGUUAUUGGAUAAGUUUCCUCCGUAUUCCCUAUUCUCUCAAAUUUUGCGUUGUUCUUCAUUUUUAUCUUGUCAGUUUCCUCCGUAUCCUCUAUUCUCCUCCAUCUGGCAUUGUUAUUCAUUCUUCUCUUUUAUGUUUGAGUGUUAUUUGUUGACCGCGUGUAUGUAGUAGAGAAAUAAUUUUCAAUUCUUUGAUUUCGUUUUUUUUUUUUUUAAAAGCUUGAUGUUGUGUUCUCUAUUGCUCAUUUCUUUAGUUUCGUAUCCGAAUAAUUUUAUUUACUUUCAAGGACACUGUGGUUUUAACAUUUGAUCUUUUCUCCUUUCUCUACCUUGCUUUAAGCAUAAGGGUAGAAUUUUCAGGUUUCGCGUGGUCAAGAGAAGUUUAUUGGGAAUUAAUUCUUCGAUAAGUUUCCUCCCUAUUCCUUAUUCUCUCAAAUUUUGCAUUGUUUUUCAUAUUUAUCUUUUAUGUUUUCGUGUUAUAUGUCUACUGUAUGUGUGUACUAGAAAAUUAAUUUAUGAAUCCGUUAAUUUCUUUGUUUGUUUUUUAUCUUGAUCUUGCGUUGUGUAUUCCUCAUUUCAUUAGUUUCGUAUCUACAUAAUUUAAUUUCCUUUAACCGAUAUUGUGCCUUAAGAGUUAAUUUUCUUAUUCUCGUUUUUACAUUUGUAAUCUACUCAUUUCGCUACCUUCUAUAAGCGUAAGGGUAGAAUUUUUAGGUUUCCCCAGGAAAAGAAAUGUUUGUUUGGAAAUACUUGUCAGGUAAGUUUUCUCUGUAUCCACUAUUCUCCUCCAUUUUGUAAUGUUCUUCAUUCUUCUCUUUUAUGUUUGAUUGUUAUUUGUUGAUUGCGUGUAUAUAGUAGAUAAUGAAUUUUCAAUCCUUUGAUUUCAUUGUUUUUUUUUUUAGAGCUCUAUGUUGUGGUUUUUAUUACUCAUUUCUUUAGUUUCUUAUCAAAAUAAUUUUAUUUACUUUCAAGGACAAUGUGGUUUUAACAUUUGAUUUCUACUCUUUUCUCUACCUUGUUUUAAGCGUAAGAGUAAAAUUUUUAGGUUUUCCGUGGUGAAGAUAAGUUUAUUGGGAAUUAGUUCUUGGAUAAGUUUCCUCCGUAUUCCCUAUUCUCUCAAAUUUUGCACGGUUCUUCAUAUUUAUCUUGUAUGUUUUCGUAUUAUAUGUCUACUGUAUGUGUGUGCUAGAAAAUUAAUUUUGAUUCUGUUAACUUCUUUGUUUGUUUUUUAUCUUAAUUUUGCGUUGCUUAUUCCUCAUUUCUUUAGUUUCAUAUCUGCAUAGUUUGAUUUUCUUUCAACCAAAGCCUUAAGAGUUAAUUUUCUUAUUCUUGUUUUUACAUUUGAUCUCUACCCCUUUUGCUUCCUUCUAUAAGCGUAAAGGUAGAAUUUUUAGGUUUCCCAAAGAAAAGAGAAGUUUAUUGGAAAAUACUUGUCAGAUAAGUUUCCUCGAUAUACACUAUUCUCCUUCAUUACGCAUUGUAAUUCAUUCUGCUCUUUUAUGUUUGAGUGUUAUUUGUUGACUACAUGUAUGUAGUAGAGAAUGAAUUUUCAAUCUUUUGAUUUCAUUGUUUUUUUUUAGCUUUAUGUUGAGUUUUCUAUUACUCAUUUCUUAAGUUUCUUAUCAAAAUAAUUUUAUUUACUCUUAAGAAAAUUGUGGUUUUAACAUUUGAUCUCUACUCCUUUCUCGACCUUCCUUUAAGCGUAACGGUAGAAUUUUCAGGUUUCCCGUGGUGAGGAGAAGCUUUUUGGGAAUUAGUUCUUGUAUAAGUUUCCUCUGUAUUCCCCUAUUCUCUCAAAUUUUGCAUUGUUCUUCAUAGUUAUCUUGUAUGUUUUCGUGUUAUAUGUCCACUGUAUAUGUGUACUAGAAAAUUAAUUUUGAAUCCGUUAAUUUCUUUGUUUGUUUUUUAUCUUGAUCUUGCGUUGUCUAUUCCUCAUUUCUUUAGUUUCGUAUCAGCAUAAUUUAAUUUCCUUUCAACGAUAUUGUGUCUUGAGAGUUAAUUUUCUUAUUCUCGUUUUUACAUUUGAUCUCUACGCCUUUCGUUACUUUCUAUAAGCGUAAGGGUAGAAUUUUCAAGUGUCCCGAGGAAAUGAGAAGUUUAUUUGGAAAUACUUGUCAGGUAAGUUUCCUCUGUAUCCCUUAUUCUCUUCCAUUUCGCAUUGUUCUUUAUUAUUCUCUUUUAUGUUUGAGUGUUAUUUUUUAAUCGCAUGUAUGUAGUAGAGAAUAAAUUUUCAAUCCUUUGAUUUCUUUGUUUUCUUUUUAAAAGCUUGUUGUUGUGUUUUCUUCCUCAUUUCUUUAGUUUCGUAUCAGAAUAAUUUGAUUUACUUUCAAGGACAUUGUGCUUUUCACAUUUGAUCUAUACACCUUUCUUUAAGCAUAAGGGUAGAAUUUUCAGGUUUCCCGAGGUCAAGAGAAGUUUAUUGAGAAUUAGUUCUUCGAUAAGUUUCCUCCAUAUUCCCUAUUCUCUCAAAUUAUGCAUUGUUCUUCAUAUUUAUCUUUUAUGUUUUCGUGUUAUAUGUCUAUUGUAUGUAUGUACUAGAAAAUUAAUUUUGAAUCCGUUAAUUUCUUUAUUUGUUUUUUAUCUCGAUGUUGCGUUGUCUAUUCCUCAUUUUUUUAGUUUCGUAUCAGCAUAAUUUAAUUUCAUUUCAACGAUAUUGUGUCUUGAGAGUUAAUUUUCUUAUUCUCGUUUUUACAUUUAAUCUCUACUCCUUUCGCUACUUUCUAUAAGUGUAAGGGUAGAAUUUUCAAGUGUCCCGAGGAAAAGAGAAGUUUAUUUGGAAAUACUUGUCAGGUAAGUUUCCUCCGUAUUCCCUAUUCUCUUCCAUUUCGCAUUGUUCUUUAUUAUUCUCUUUUAUGUUUGAGUGUUAUUUGUUGACCACAUAUAUGUAGUAGAGAAUUAAUAUUCAAUCCUUUGAUUUCUUUGUUUUUUUUUUUAAAAGCUUGAUGUUGUGUUUUCUAUUCCUCAUUUCUUUAGUUUCGUAUCAGAAUAAUUUUGAUUUACUUUCAAGGACAUUGUGGUUUUCACAUUUGAUUUGCACUCCUUUCUCUACCUUUCUUUANNNNNNNNNNNNNNNNNNNNNNNNNNNNNNNNNNNNNNNNNNNNNNNNNNNNNNNNNNNNNNNNNNNNNNNNNNNNNNNNNNNNNNNNNNNNNNNNNNNNUGCAAAAUUUAAGAGAAUAGGGAAUACGGAGGAAACUUAUCCAAGAACUAAUUCCCCGUAAACUUCUCUUUACCACGGGAAACCUGAAAAUUCUACCCUUAUGCUUAAAGAAAGGUAAAGAAGGUGUACAGAUCAAAUGUGAAAACCACAAUGUCCUUGAAAGUAAAUCAAAUUAUUCUGAUACGAAACUAAAGAAAUGAGGAAUAGAAAACACAACAUCAAGCUCAUAAAAAAAACAAAGAAAUCAAAGGAUUGAAAAUUAAUUCUCUACAUACAUGCGGUUAACAAAUAACACUCAAACAUAAAAGAGAAGAAUCAAGAACAAUGCGAAAUGGAAGAGAAUAGGGGAUACGGAGGAAACUUACCUGAAGAGUAUUUCCAAAUAAACUUCUCUUUUCCUCGGGACACUUGAAAAUUCUACCCUUACGCUUAUAAAAAGUAGUGAUAAGAGUAGAGAUCAAAUGUAAAAACGAGAAUAAGAAAAUUAACUCUCAAGACACAACAUCAUUGAAAUCAAAUUAAAUUAUAUUGAUACGAAACUAAAAAAAUGAGGAAUAGACAACACAACAUCGAGAUAAAAAACAAACAAAGAAAUUAACGGAUAUAAAAUUAAUUUUCCAAUACACACAUACAGUAGACAUAUAACACGAAAACAUAAAAGAUAAAUAUGAAUAACAAUGCAAAAUUUAAGAGAAUAUGAAAUAUGGAGGAAACUUAUCGAAGAACUAAUUCCCAAUAAACUUCUCUUGACCUCAGAAAACCUAAAAAUUCUACCCUUAUACUUAAAGCAAGGUAGAGAAAGGAGAAGAGAUCAAAUGUUAAAACCACAAUGUCCUUGAGAGUAAAUAAAAUUAUUCGGAUACGAAACUAAAGAAAUGAGUAAUAGAAAACACAACAUCAAGCUUUUAAAAAAAAACAAAGAAAUCAAAGGAUUGAAAAUUAAUUCUCUACUACAUACAUGCAGUCAACAAAUAAUACUCAAACAUAAAAGAGAAUAAUAAAGAACAAUGCAAAAUCGAAGAGAAUAGGGGAUACAGAGGAAACUUACCUGACAAGUAUUUCCAAAUAAACUUCUCUUUUCCUCGGGACACUUGAAAAUUCUACCUUUACGCUUAUAGAAAGUAUCAAAAGGAGUAGAGAUCAAAUGUUAAAACAAGAAUAAGAAAUUAACUCUCAAGGCACAAUAUCUUGAAAGGAAAUUAAAUUAUGCUGAUACGAAACUAAAGAAAUGAGGAAUAGACAACGCAACAUAAAGAUAAAAGACAAAAAAAGAAAUUAACGGUUUCAAAAUUAAUUUUCUAGUACACACAUACAGUUGACAUAUAACACGAAAACAUACAAGAUAAUUAUCAAGAACAAUGCAAAAUUUGAGAGAAUAGGGAAUACGGGGGAAACUUAUACAAGAACUAAUUCCCAAAAAGCUUCUCUUCACCACGGGAAACCUGAAAAUUCUACUGUUACGCUUAAAGGAAGGCCGAGAAAGGAGUAGAGAUCAAAUGUUAAAACCACAAUUUUCUUAAGAGUAAAUAAAAUUAUUUU
rnacentral:lncRNA from 1 species